rnacentral:rRNA from 1 species
GGUAAUACGUAGGGCGCAAGCGUUAUCCGGAAUUAUUGGGCGUAAAGAGCUCGUAGGCGGUUUGUCGCGUCUGCCGUGAAAGUCCGGGGCUCAACUCCGGAUCUGCGGUGGGUACGGGCAGACUAGAGUGAUGUAGGGGAGACUGGAAUUCCUGGUGUAGCGGUGAAAUGCGCAGAUAUCAGGAGGAACACCGAUGGCGAAGGCAGGUCUCUGGGCAUUAACUGACGCUGAGGAGCGAAAGCAUGGGGAGCGAACAGGAUUAGAUACCCUGGUAGUCCAUGCCGUAAACGUUGGGCACUAGGUGUGGGGGACAUUCCACGUUUUCCGCGCCGUAGCUAACGCAUUAAGUGCCCCGCCUGGGGAGUACGGCCGCAAGGCUAAAACUCAAAGGAAUUGACGGGGGCCCGCACAAGCGGCGGAGCAUGCGGAUUAAUUCGAUGCAACGCGAAGAACCUUACCAAGGCUUGACAUGAACCGGAAACGUCUGGAAACAGGCGCCCCACUUGUGGUCGGUUUACAGGUGGUGCAUGGUUGUCGUCAGCUCGUGUCGUGAGAUGUUGGGUUAAGUCCCGCAACGAGCGCAACCCUCGUUCCAUGUUGCCAGCGCGUAAUGGCGGGGACUCAUGGGAGACUGCCGGGGUCAACUCGGAGGAAGGUGGGGACGACGUCAAAUCAUCAUGCCCCUUAUGUCUUGGGCUUCACGCAUGCUACAAUGGCCGGUACAAAGGGUUGCGAUACUGUGAGGUGGAGCUAAUCCCAAAAAGCCGGUCUCAGUUCGGAUUGGGGUCUGCAACUCGACCCCAUGAAGUCGGAGUCGCUAGUAAUCGCAGAUCAGCAACGCUGCGGUGAAUACGUUCCCGGGCCUUGUACACACCGCCCGUCAAGUCACGAAAGUUGGUAACACCCGAAG